rnacentral:rRNA from 1 species
CCUACGGGAGGCUGCAGUGGGGAAUCUUGGACAAUGGGGGCAACCCUGAUCCAGCGAUGCCGCGUGAGUGAAGAAGGCCUUCGGGUCGUAAAGCUCUUUAGGUUGGGAAGAAGGUUAUGCGAGGAUAAUUCGUGUAACUUGACGGUACUAACAGAAUAAGCACCGGCAAACUCUGUGCCAGCAGCCGCGGUAAUACAGAGGGUGCAAGCGUUAAUCGGAGUUACUGGGCGUAAAGGGCGCGUAGGCGGUUUGUUGGGUGUGAUGUGAAAGCCUUG